rnacentral:tRNA from 1 species
CGAACCGGGGGAGAUCUCCCAUAAGCGGGUUUACAACCCACCGCCUAAAUCAGCCACCUGUCC